rnacentral:rRNA from 1 species
UACGAAGGGGGGCUAGCGUUGCUCGGAAUCACUGGGCGUAAAGGGUGCGUAGGCGGGUCUUUUAAGUCAGGGGUGAAAUCCUGGAGCUCAACUCCAGAACUGCCUUUGAUACUGAAGAUCUUGAGUUCGGGAGAGGUGAGUGGAAUUGCGGAGUGUAGAGGUGAAAAUUCGUAGAUAUUCGCAAGAACACCAGUGGCGAAGGCGGCUCACUGGCCCGAUACUGACGCUGAGGCACGAAAGCGUGGGGAGCAAACAGGG